GUUAAAAUUUUAAAUGCCUUUUUCUUUAUGGCUUAUGCAUUUAGCAUCUUGAGAAAUAACUGAGUGCCUCUGACAUAAAGCCUACUUAGUCUGAUAUUAUCUUGCCCCAUCAACUUUCUAUGGCCCUGACUACACGUCAAACCCCUGCACACUGACCAUCCCGUUCCUUCCAUGUUUGGCUGGCUUACAGUCCAUUUACUUGUGCUCUGACAAUUGGUAUAUUUGCAUGUGUUUCUACUUCUUGUGUCUCUAGUUACACAGGCCCUCUGGUAUUUCUGGCCUUUCCUAUGUCCCUAGGGGAUUGCCUGUGUUUCCUGUGUUCCUUCCCCCGAUUUGUCUGGAAGUUACAAUUCUGCUUCGGUGGCUAUCGUUGACAUGUGCUCUUAACGAGGUUUUUAAGGAGGAAAAAGCAUAAAGCCCUUUAACAACCAUCUCAUUUCUACCCAUCUUGGCUGAGGAAGUUAUUAGGGAGCCCUAUCUCCAAGCACAGAUGUCCACAGCACAAAGCUCCAGGUGGUACAGAUGAAACCACAAAGGGGUCAACUCUCGGAGUUAGUAUCGUGCCACAGUACUGCCCCUCCUCAGACGUUCAGCUGAUGGCAAGUUGCGGUUUGUACGACCACAGCAAUGGGGGGGGGGGCUCACACACCUGCAUCCCCUCCCCCACCCUCCUUGUGUCCAGGUGUGUGCACACGCUUGUGCGCCCCACCCCUGCAUUGCUGCCCCCACCCUCCUCCCUGCUGGCUCCCAUGCCUGCCAUGUUCCGGUCUCCUUCCUGUUUGACUGAUCUCGGCAGGAUUUCAGGAGGUGCCCAUCUGUACGGUCUAGUAACUAAUGUAGCGAAAGGAUUUGUUUUCCGUCAGUAUAAGGCAAAUAGCGCUUCUUACCACAACAGGCAAACCCUGAAAUCUGAGUGGCUUAACACAUGUUCUCGCUCAUUCUGGAAGUUAGUUCUGGCCGGUGGGCCUCUCCUCACACAGUAACUCAGGGACCUGCUUCCUCCUCUUCUUUCCAGCUAGUGCAGCCCCCUCUACCUGCCACCCCUGCACCUCUGCCCAGUGACACUCCUCAUCCCCAAGA